rnacentral:rRNA from 1 species
UACGUAGGGUGCAAGCGUUGUCCGGAAUUAUUGGGCGUAAAGAGCUCGUAGGCGGUCUGUCGCGUCGGCUGUGAAAACCCGGAGCUCAACUCCGGGCCUGCAGUCGAUACAGGCAGACUGGAGUUCGGCAGGGGAGACUGGAAUUCCUGGUGUAGCGGUGAAAUGCGCAGAUAUCAGGAGGAACACCGGUGGCGAAGGCGGGUCUCUGGGCCGAUACUGACGCUGAGGAGCGAAAGCGUGGGGAGCGAACAGG